UGUCGGAAAGUAUCUAAAUUCCGUGUAAACGAGCAUAGGGUGCAAAUUAGUUUUGCGGAAAGUUGAAUAAAAAAUCGACAGAUAAUUUUCUAAGUACUAAAUAAAAUUUCAAGUUUGUUUAAAAAUAUUCAAUAUGCUAAUCAAGUUAUGUUCAUGUUGUAAUUAAUGGGUUGAAAUAUUGUUUUUAUGCCCCACCUACGAUAGUAGAGGGGCAUUAUGUUUUCUGGUCUGUGCCUCCGUUCGUUCGUCCGUUCGUUCGUCCGACUUCAGGUUAAAGUUUUUGGUCAAGGUAGUUUUUGAUGAAGUUGAAGUCCAAUCCACUUGAAACUUAGUACACAUGUUCCCCAUGAUAUUAUCUUUCUAAUUUUAAUGCCAAAUUAUAGUUUUGACCCCAAUUUCAUGGUCAACUGAACAUAGAAAAUGAAAGUGCGAAGUUCAGGUUAAAGUUUUUGGUCAAGGUAG
rnacentral:lncRNA from 1 species